AGGGCAGCAUGCUGGGAGCGCGUGACGCGCUCCUGAGUGACGGGCGCCGCAGCCAAUGAGAAGCCGCCGUCGGCCGAGCGAGCCCAAUAGGCGCGGGCGGAGCGGCGGCGGGGGGGGGCGGCGCGGCGCCCGCGGCCGGGUAGGGUGUGAGAAGUUAGUGGCGCUGCUGCGGUGCCGUGAGGGGACAGAGACGGCUGGGCUCUGCGAGCGGCGGCGGCCCCGGAUCAGCGCGAUGCUCACGGACGGCACCGCCGCCCCCGUCGGCGACGAGGAGAUCGACUCGGUCGCUCCCCGCGCGCCGCCCGCCGCCGAGCCGCCCGCCGCGGCCGGGCCCUCCCCGCUGGGCUUGCGGGCCGUGCGCCUCUUCGGGGAGGCCGGGCCCGGCGGGCCGGGAGGCCCCGGCGCACCCGCGGCUGGCGAGGCCGCCCUCGACUUCAAGCUGGCGGCCGCAGUGCUGCGGAGCGGGGGUGGCGGCGGCUCCGGCAGCGACGAGGACGAGGUGUCCGAGGUUGAAUCCUUUAUUUUGGACCAAGAAGAUCUUGAUAACCCAGUACUUAAAACCACGUCGGAGUUAUUCUUAUCGAGCGCUGCAGAAGGGGCAGACUUGAGAACUGUGGAUCCAGAAACACAAGCAAGGCUAGAAGCCUUACUGGAGGCAGCAGGGAUUGGUAAAUUGUCCACUGCCGAUGGCAAAGCCUUCGCAGAUCCCGAGGUUCUCCGGAGACUGACGUCCUCUGUCAGCUGUGCACUGGAUGAAGCUGCUGCUGCAUUGACGCGGAUGAGAGCAGAGAACAAUCACAAUGCAGGACAAGUGGACAAUCGCAGUUUGGCAGAAGCCUGCUCGGAUGGGGAUGUCAACGCUGUCCGGAAGCUGUUGGAUGAAGGAAGAAGUGUAAAUGAGCAUACUGAAGAAGGGGAGAGUCUCCUUUGCUUGGCCUGUUCAGCAGGAUAUUAUGAAUUGGCACAAGUGCUGCUAGCAAUGCAUGCAAACGUUGAAGAUCGAGGGAACAAGGGAGACAUAACUCCCUUAAUGGCAGCUGCCAGCGGAGGCUACGUGGACAUUGUUAAGCUGCUCCUUGUUCAUUGUGCAGAUGUCAACGCACAGUCUUCAACAGGGAACACAGCUCUCACUUACGCUUGUGCUGGGGGCUUUGUUGACAUAGUGAAGGUGCUGUUGAAAGCCGGUGCUAAUAUAGAAGACCACAAUGAGAAUGGCCAUACCCCCUUAAUGGAAGCAGCCAGUGCAGGUCAUGUUGAGGUUGCAAGAGUAUUGCUGGAAUAUGGUGCAGGAAUCAACACUCACUCCAACGAGUUCAAGGAAAGUGCACUUACACUUGCAUGCUAUAAAGGCCAUUUAGAUAUGGUUCGUUUUUUGCUUGAAGCUGGAGCUGAUCAAGAACAUAAAACAGAUGAGAUGCACACAGCACUGAUGGAGGCCUGCAUGGAUGGGCACGUGGAAGUGGCACGCUUGCUUUUGGACAGUGGCGCUCAAGUGAACAUGCCUGCAGAUUCAUUUGAGUCUCCACUCACUCUGGCUGCUUGUGGUGGGCACGUGGAGUUAGCAGCUCUCCUGAUUGAGAGGGGAGCUAACCUGGAGGAAGUUAAUGAUGAAGGUUAUACUCCUCUAAUGGAAGCUGCCCGGGAAGGCCAUGAGGAGAUGGUUGCCUUGCUGCUGGCACAAGGGGCAAAUAUAAAUGCACAGACAGAAGAAACACAGGAAACAGCUCUUACUCUGGCAUGCUGUGGAGGGUUUUCUGAAGUAGCUGACUUCCUUAUUAAGGCAGGAGCUGAUAUUGAACUUGGUUGCUCAACACCUUUGAUGGAAGCUGCUCAAGAAGGUCAUCUUGAAUUGGUGAAAUACUUGCUGGCAGCAGGAGCAAAUGUUCAUGCCACCACAGCGACAGGAGACACAGCUUUGACCUAUGCCUGUGAAAAUGGACAUACUGAUGUUGCAGAUGUGUUGCUUCAAGCUGGUGCUGAUCUGGAGCAUGAAUCCGAAGGUGGGAGAACCCCACUAAUGAAGGCGGCACGAGCCGGUCAUCUGUGCACCGUGCAGUUCCUUAUUAGCAAAGGUGCCAAUGUUAACAGGGCCACAGCUAAUAACGACCACACGGUGGUGUCACUGGCGUGUGCAGGAGGUCACCUCGCAGUCGUUGAGCUCCUUCUUGCUCACGGUGCAGAUCCUACUCAUCGGCUGAAGGAUGGCUCAACUAUGCUCAUUGAAGCCGCCAAAGGAGGACAUACAAAUGUUGUUUCUUACUUGCUGGAUUACCCAAACAAUGUUCUGUCAGUUCCUGCGGCAGACUUGUCUCAGCUCACACCUCCAUCUCAGGAUCAGUCUCAGGUCCCACGUGUGCCGGUGCAUACACUUGCUAUGGUUGUACCUCCCCAGGAACCUGACAGAACCCCUCAAGAGAACUCGCCACCUCUCUUGGGAGUGGUGAAAGGUGCAUCCAAGCAGAAGUCAAGUUCCCUGCAGGUAGCAGAUAAGGACCUACUGCCACCUUUUCACCCAUACCAGCCUUUGGAAUGCAUAGUAGAAGAGACUGAAGGCAAGCUGAAUGAACUUGGACAGAGAAUUAGUGCUAUUGAAAAAGCACAACUUAAAUCAUUGGAAUUAAUUCAAGGUGAACCUUUAAAUAAGGAUAAGAUCGAAGAACUUAAAAAGAACAGAGAAGAACAAGUACAGAAGAAGAAGAAAAUAUUGAAGGAGCUGCAGAAGGUGGAAAGGCAGUUGCAGAUGAAAACCCAACAGCAGUUUACCAAAGAAUAUUUGGAGACCAAAGGUCAGACAGACACACCACUUCCCCUGCAGCAGCAGUGCCCACUUACAGGGGUAUUCCCAGAAGUGGAAGCCGAUAAGGGUCUGCCAGAGGAUAACUUUUCAGGGUUACCUCAGGUUGACACAAUCUUGUCUAAAGAUGACGAGCAACAACAGUCUCCACCACCUGCUGAACAAAUAGAGUUUGUCCCUAUCCAGCCUUUGCCAGCACCGCAAUGUAAUUUUUCUGGUAAUUUAGGUUAUAAUGGGACAGAGUCUCUUGAACUUCAGAAAGCAUUAGGGAAUCAGCAGAAUGUAGGACAGCAGCAGCAGAUUGCUGGGCAGGGGCUCUUAGUUCAAGAACCAGACGGAUUAAUGGUUGCCACUCCAGCACAGACGCUUACCGACACUCUUGAUGACCUAAUAGCAGCUGUGAACAGCAGAGUGCCCAGUGGAUCCACCAGCUCCUCACACGCCACCGAAUCCCCCACGCCUGAGCCUUGUUCACAGGCAUCGAGCAAUGUGCCCUCGCAGUCGGUGCUCCCCAUGUAUCCUUCGGUUGACAUUGAUGCACACACCGAAAGUAAUCAUGACACUGCUCUGACCCUUGCAUGUGCGGGAGGUCAUGAAGAACUCGUAUCUGUACUGAUAGCACGUGGUGCCAACAUUGAACACAGAGACAAGAAGGGUUUUACACCUUUGAUUCUGGCUGCAACUGCUGGACAUGUUGGUGUAGUGGAAAUACUUCUGGACAAAGGUGGGGAUAUCGAAGCACAAUCCGAGCGCACAAAGGAUACUCCCCUUUCAUUGGCAUGCUCUGGUGGACGCCAGGAGGUGGUUGAUCUGCUGUUGGCCCGGGGAGCAAACAAAGAACAUAGGAAUGUGUCUGACUAUACACCAUUAAGCCUUGCUGCGUCUGGUGGCUAUGUUAAUAUCAUCAAGAUUCUUCUCAAUGCUGGGGCAGAAAUCAAUUCCAGGACCGGCAGCAAGCUCGGCAUUUCUCCUCUGAUGCUGGCUGCUAUGAACGGCCAUGUCCCUGCCGUGAAGCUGCUGCUGGACAUGGGGUCUGACAUUAACGCCCAAAUUGAGACCAACCGGAACACAGCCCUCACCCUGGCCUGCUUCCAGGGCCGAGCAGAGGUAGUCAGUCUGCUCUUGGACAGGAAGGCCAACGUCGAGCACAGGGCGAAGACUGGCCUCACGCCUCUGAUGGAAGCAGCUUCGGGAGGAUAUGCAGAGGUUGGAAGGGUUCUCCUUGAUAAAGGAGCAGAUGUUAAUGCUCCACCUGUGCCUUCCUCAAGAGAUACAGCUUUAACAAUUGCAGCAGAUAAGGGUCACUACAAGUUCUGUGAGCUCCUGAUUAAUCGAGGAGCACAUAUUGAUGUUCGUAACAAGAAAGGAAACACACCGCUGUGGUUGGCUGCUAAUGGGGGUCACUAUGAUGUGGUUCAGCUGCUUGUGCAAGCAGGAGCAGACGUGGAUGCUGCGGAUAACCGGAAGAUUACACCUCUUAUGUCAGCAUUUCGUAAGGGGCAUGUGAAGGUAGUUCAGUUCCUGGUGAAAGAAGUUAACCAGUUCCCUUCGGACAUUGAGUGCAUGAGAUACAUAGCAACAAUAACGGACAAGGACCUGUUGAAAAAGUGUCACCAGUGUGUGGAGACAAUUGUGAAAGCUAAAGACCAGCAGGCUGCAGAAGCAAAUAAGAAUGCAACUAUACUGCUGAAGGAGCUAGACCUGGAAAAAUCAAGAGAGGAGAGCAGGAAACAAGCUCUUGCAGCUAAAAGGGAGAAAAGAAAGGAAAAGAGAAAGAAGAAGAAAGAGGAACAAAAAAGAAAACAAGAAGAAGAUGAAGAAAACAAGCCUAAAGAAACUCUGGAACUGCAAGAGGAUGAUGAUGAAGAAGAAAACGAUGAUGAAGUGGAGCAAGAAAUUCCUAUAGAGCCUCCUAGUGCAACUACAACAACUACCAUUGGGAUUUCUGCAACUUCCACUACUUUCACAAAUGCGUUUGGGAAGAAGAGAGCUAAUGUGGUGACUACCCCCAGCACAAACAGGAAAAACAAGAAAAAUAAAACAAAAGAGACUCCUCAGAACAUGCAGAUAAUUUUGCCAGAUCAGCAUAUAUCUCUAGCCCAGCAAAAAGCAGAUAAAAAUAAAAUAAACGGAGAGCCAAGAGGUGGUGGUGCGAGCGGGAAUAGCGAUUCGGAUAACUUGGAUAGCACAGACUGCAACAGUGAAAGCAGCAGUGGAGGGAAGAGCCAGGAGCUGAACUUCACGAUGGAUAUGAACUCCUCAGAGCGGCGCUACGCCUCCCUGCUUAUCCCCUCUCAGGAAGAGAAAACAAGCACCUCAGCUUCGAAAACACCCACCAGACUUGAUGGUGAAGGUCAUUCGAAUUCUUUGUCAACUACUUAUAAACCUGUUUCCCUGCCUCUGACCUCUCCAAAUGUGAAGCUGAAUCUGACUAGUCCAAAAAGAGGCCAGAAAAGAGAAGAGGGCUGGAAAGAAGUGGUUAGAAGGCAAGUAGGCAGAGUUUUGAAAGACCCUCCCCCCAGCAACACUCUGCAGCCAACACCAAUUGAGCAAUUUCAGCUGCAGAGAGGAGGGCGCUGCUGCUCGGGAGCAAAAAGGUCAAAGAAGUUGUCUGUCCCAGCUUCGGUUGUAUCUAGAAUAAUGGGAAGAGGUGGGUGCAACAUCACAGCAAUUCAAGAUGUCACUGGUGCCCAUAUUGACGUUGAUAAGCAAAAGGAUAAGAAUGGAGAGAGAAUGAUCACUAUAAGGGGCGGUACGGAGUCGACGCGAUACGCAGUGCAGCUCAUCAAUGCCCUUAUUCAAGAUCCUGCCAAGGAACUGGAAGACUUGAUUCCUAAAACUCAUAUAAGAACCCCUGCUUCGAGUAGCAAAUCAAUCCAUGCAAACUUUUCAUCUGGGGUCAGCACUGCAACUGCUUCAAACAAGAACUCCUUUCCCCUCGGGGCACCGCCCCUCGUCACGUCGCAGUCAUCAACACUAUCUACUUUCCAGCCUACCAACAAACUGAACAAGAAUGUCCCAGCCAACGUGCGCUCAUCUUUUCCAGUGUCUCUUCCUCUAGCUUAUUCUCACCCUCAUUUUGCCUUGCUGGCUGCCCAAACUAUGCAACAGAUCCGGCACCCUCGCUUACCUAUGGCCCAGUUUGGAGGAACUUUUUCACCUUCACCGAACACUUGGGGACCAUUCCCAGUGAGACCAGUUAACCCUGGCAGCACAAACAGCUCUCCAAAGCAUAACAGUUCGAGCCGUGUAGGUAAUCAGAAUGGGAAUAUCCUACAGACGGAGUCUCCUGGAUUAGCUACUUCUACUUGUCCCAUUACUGUCUCUUCUGUAGCUGCUUCCACCCAACCGCUGUGCGUGACCAGUAAUCGGACUCCCUCGUCGGUCAGGAAGCAGUUGUUCGCCUGCGUUCCCAAGACAAGUGCUGCAGCAACAGCAAUCUCAACUGUGACAAGCACCUGUAGCACUAUGCCUUCAGCUUCCUCUGCUCCCCCAAGCAAUGGGCAAGUGCCCCCAGCAUUUCUGCCAUCUAAUGCUCCCCAAGCGCAGCAUUCCGCGCUGAAAGCGGACUCUUUCUCAGCUGUCUCAGCACCCAAAGAGAAGGCGUCAGCACCAGACCAGCCCGCUGCAAGUGCGUGUGCACCGACUUCAGUUGCAAGUAGUUGCAGUAUGUCAGCAAGCAGCAACUCAGGAGUCACUGAAACGCGCCCGUCGAGCAGCCCUGCUCCGCUCAACAAUGUCCAAGAUGAAAUACUGCCAACCAGCAUGUCCGAGAUCAGUCCUUCCGUGCCGAUGCCUUUUUCAUCCAGCUCAGAAACUGCUCCUUUAAGCUUAGCGUCACCCAGGUCAGUCGUUGCAGAUAAUCAGGACAACAGUAACUUACCUCAAGUAGCUGUACCAGCACCUCGAGUUACUCACAGGAUGCAGUCCAGAGGUUCUUUCUAUUCAGUGGUACCAAAUGCAAACCUCCAUCAAGAUCCUCAGUCUAUUUUUGUUACGAAUCAAGUUCCUUUAACACCUUCUCAAGGUCCACCUGCUGCAGUGCAGCUUUCGUCAGCCAUGAACGUUAUGAACGGUUCUCAGAUGCACAUUAACCCAGCAAACAAAUCAUUGCCUCCUACCUUUGGGCCAGCAACGCUCUUCAAUCACUUUAGUAGUCUUUUUGAUAGCAACCAGGUGCCAGCUAACCAAGGAUGGGGAGACUGUCCACUCUCAACCCGAGCAGCAGCUGACCCGUCCUUCACUGUUCAGUCUACCUUUCUGAAUAACUCUGUGCUAGGACACGUGGAAAACGUGCAUCCUGACAACUCCAAGGCUCCUGGUUUCAGGCCACCUUCCCAGCGGGUUUCGACUAGUCCUGUAGGCUUACCCUCUCUAGAUCCAUCCAACAGCUCUACAACUUCUUCUUCAGGUCCUUUGACAGGCUUUUCAGCAAACAUACAAGGAGCACGGGUUUACCUUCAAGGGCCAGCGCCUGUUGGGACUCCCAGCUUUAACAGACAGCAUUUUUCACCACAUCCUUGGACAAGCGCAACAAAUUCAUGUGAAUCUCCUAUUCCAUCAGUUUCCUCAGGAUCAUCUUCGCCCCUUUCAGCUGCUUCUGCACCUUCUAACUUGGGCCAGCCAAAAACGGGUAACGCCAACCAAGACCGAAAGGUUCCCCCGCCCAUCGGGACAGAAAGGCUGGCUAGGAUUCGACAGGGAGGAUCUGUCACCCCGACACCCUUGGGAACCAACUUCACAGCUCCCGUCGGUCACAGUGGCAUUUGGUCCUUUGGAGUUAACAGCGUAUCUGAAGGCUUGUCAGGUUGGUCCCAGCCUGUCAUGGGAAAUCAUCCGAUGCAUCAGCAGCUGUCGGACCCAGGCACGUUUUCUCAGCAUCAGCCAAUGGAGAGAGAUGAUUCUGGGAUAGUGGCUCCCUCGAAUAUUUUCCACCAACCUAUGCCAAAUAGUUUUGUGGAUUUUUCUAAAGGCCUACCCAUCUCCAUGUAUGGCGGCACUCUGAUCCCCUCGCACCCGCAGCUGGCGGAUGGCCCAGGAGGACCCCUCUUUAAUGGGCUCCAUACUCCGGAUCCUGCCUGGAAUCCCAUGAUCAAAGUUGUCCAGAACUCGACAGAAUGUACUGAUGCUCAGCAGAUUUGGCCUGGCACCUGGGCACCUCACAUUGGAAACAUGCAUCUCAAGUACGUCAACUGAUUUAAGGGGGUCUAUCCUUUUUUAGCCUUGUUUGGGAAUCUAUGAUCUUGGAAGAACCCUGGGGAUUUUUUUUUAAUGUGCCUAACUAAGCAAUUUUCUGUGGGCUGGAACAAUGGAAACUUAAUGGCCCACUGUAUAACAACCAAUUGAUUUACCUGUAAAACUGAUUCUGUUCUCUGGUUAGUUUAGCCAUUUUGAACUUAUAAAUCAGACAAAACUAGUGCUUUUGGCUAAACACUACUGAACGCUCCUUGUAUGCAGCAGAGAAAUAGCUGAUGACAUGGACAUGAUUUCAACCUAUUAGGGUGGUAAAUACAUGUAUAAUUGUUUACAGACUUAAAAGCUGAGUAAAUUUCAUGUCGUAUAGUGGCUCUACUUUAUGUAGCCUGUAUUAAUGUGAACUAUUUACCUGAAUAUUCAAUAAAAGGCAAACAGUAUUUAGAGGUUGUGUGUGAGAAUUUUGGAAGAGGCUGGAUGAUGUUGUCUUUGGUAGCUGCUGUCAUGCCCAGUGAUGCAUCUUCUCAGGAUCACAGAAUUAGCACGUGGAUGCAGUCAGGGUUUGGGGGGGGAUUUGAUCCACAGUCAUUUGCUGUACAGUGUCUGCUCAGUCCUUCCCUCUGCCACUUGGUAGCCUUGUAUUUUUGGUCUGUGAAUGUGGUUGUGCACUUUUUUUCUGCCUUUCUGGAUUAGUUCUGCUGCUUUUAGCACUCUUUCCAGGUGUGUUGUCUGAGAUAUGGGGUUUUGUUCAGGGGUUGGAAAUAAUGGAUAAGUUGACAACAUGGCAUCUGAUGCCAUCUCAAUUGGCAGGAGGUAAAUAGGCAGCUCAUACGUAAAUGCAGGACUUCACCUCACUCACUGUGACCAGCUGCCUAAAAGCAGGUCUUGGGAAAGCUGAGACCACUUCCCACUAGAGCAAAACAUGAUGUAUUAAAUUCUAAGCUUUAUGUAACCCUUUAGAUCUGAUAAGAGCUCAUGAAGUCCUCUUCGUGCGGAGGAUGGGGAUUUUUGCGUGCUGCUCAAGAUGAACAUUCAUUUUCUACCCAGGUGCAGAAGUUCUCCACUUCCUGCACUUGGGCUCUGCUUACUUCUGCUUCUGCUCAGUGGUGAUGCAGUAAGUUGAUCCAUUCCUCAAGCAGCUACUGCAGUGCACACAGUGUCCAAUCUAAUGGACCACUUUCAGUGGCCUCUCAGAUGGGAUGGAGACUUCUCCACCUUCUUUCACCUCCAGACAAAUCCUUACAUGCAGCAGCGGAGUUUUCCCCAGAAAAAGCAUGAGGAAGGAGUACUGAAAUCCCGAAAUGCACAAGCAGCAUGCAAAUGCUGCAGGCAGUCAAACCUCUGAGGUGCUACUGGAUGAUAUGUUCAGAUAUUUUUCCUAGUAUUUGAGGAAGAAAUGCAGAAAACAUGGGACUGCUGCUGCCCGUUGGUAGUGCAAACACCAAAGGAGAAGCACUAAGUGUAUUGAAACAGAUGGUAUUAUAGUGCAAGAGGUGCUUGCUCUUGGGCUGAAUUGCAGGGGAGGGGGGGAGCGGUGAAGGGGCCAUAGGCACUGUGUGGCACCACCAUCUCCUCCUGUCCCAUCCAGGGGAGUCACCAUCUCCUAUCCUGGGGGACUACAGCUCCACGCUGGUGGCACCGUGUACUCCACCAUGCCGGGGUAAGACCCAGCAUGGAGAUGGGAUUGUCCUUUCAAUGGAAAGGUGGCCUUAACUGCCCCAGCCCUGCCUAAUUGAGGCAGCUCCUUCCUGAGCAGGUCCCUUCCUAGGCUCUCCACCUCAGAGCUUGGUGCUUGGGUGCAUGGGCACCUGCGCUGGGCACCAGUGUCAGGCAGGCCCACAGGGUGGUGGCUGCCCUGGCAGCCCAGAGUUGGAGUGGAAAAGGGAACCCAGAGCUUUGUAGGAAGAUACUCCUGGAAGCUGGGGCCGUCACUGUCUUGUGGUGCUGCUGGCAGUGCUGCUGGCAGGGUGGAUGCAGCUCCGGUCCCUCAGGGCAAGUCGUGCCCAGGCAGGGCUGGCUGGAGCUGGGGCAGGCACAGGGGCUGCCACAAGGCAUCUGCAAGCCCUGGGGGAAGGUGCUGGUCGGCAGGGCUCCCUCCAGGGCUACCCUAGGCCUGCCCCCUGCCAAAGCCCCUGGUUCAGGAGACCCUGCUCUUUGCUGUCUGUCCUCAGGGUAGCGUGUGCCUAUCCCUGAGCUGGGCAUGUUUCCGUGGGGCCACAGGUGUUGGCUUCAUUGUGUGCUCCACAAGCUUACCUGGGCCAGGAGCCAUGUUGGGUCGUGGCAGAUGUGGGUUGUGCAAUGUGUUUGUUGUGCCGGGACAGGCCUGUCCCGUGCAGGAGCUCUGGGCUCAUGGCUGGAGCCUGGCAGGGAACUGGCGCUUGGCUGCAGAGUCAGCCAGGGAUGGGGGGACGGGGCAGCAGACAUGGUGCAUGGGCUGGCAGUGGGCACCUUGGGGUGCAGUGGGGGGCAGCGUGCACUGUGCACCCAGCAGGCUGGAGGACAUGUCCCCUCCAACCCCAUGGGGUGCCCUUGUGCAGAGCAUAGCAGGGCGGCCUGCUGGUGCCGUGGUGCCAGUGGGGGGGCACUCAGCCGUUGUUCUUUGAUAGCUGCAGAAGCCACUCCAAGCCAGCCACCUCUGUGCUGGGGCAUCAGGCUUGGGCAGAGUGCCCCAGUGCUGGCCCUGCCUUCCUGGCAGCACAGGGGUGGCUGCGGUGUCGGUACCAGUGCUGUGCCCUGGCAGAGCACCAAGGGGAAGGAACAACAUGGGAGGAGCUGCUGGGCAGGGUGGGUGUCACAGUCUGCCGUGCGGAAGCCCCGCAGUGUCCCCAGGCCAUAGCCAAGCGCUGGGUCGCACCUCCUGCUCCCAGCUCUGGCUGCGGUGCUGGGGGUGGCCAGGGCUGGCAGAGCCUGACAGCCCCCUGCUUUUGGCAGGUACCCGCAUCAUCUACGACCACAAGUUCCUGCUGGAGUGCAAGAGUUCACCCGUGGCCAGGACCCCUCCCUGCUGCCUGCCCCAGACCCCCGGUGCCACAUCCCUGGCCCAGUCCAGCCUCGUCAAGCUGGAGGAGCUCAAGGAGCAGAAUGAGAGCGAAGAAGCCAUGCCAGAUCAAGACCAGUUUGAGAUGGACAUCUGAGUUUCCAGCUCCCCGUCUCCAGGCCAUGGCUGGGCCUGUUCCUGGGCCUCGUGGAGGUGCUGGCACCGUGACCAGCUGGCUGCAGCACUCUCUGAUGCUGGGGAUGGAUGUGUGACACUUCAGGCUCUAGCACAACUGGCUGGUGCAAUUGCCUAGGAGCUCAUGCUUGAUCAAUAAACACCAUGAAACCCC